rnacentral:siRNA from 1 species
GAGAUAAUCGCAGUGCCAGUAAU